GGUACACGUCCAAAUAGAUACCGAUAGAAGGUAUCAGAAAGUAUUUGCAUCACUUUGCACUUCUCCUUUUGGCGCUCGUGUACCGAUUAGCCUACCGUUUAAAAGCACAUCCUGAUCUUGAUGUAAAAAGUUGAUUUCUUUGAUGUAAAAAGGAAAUGAUAUGCACGAACUUGAGUGUGUGUGUUGUUCUUUCAUGUGAGGAGAUUGUUAAAUGGUGAUAAGGAUGGCGCGAGCAGUCAAAGGUCUCUGCUCGAUUUGCAUUGCCACGCAUGCAAGGGACUCGCGUAUUUGCAAAUAUAAUUGCACCGGUUUGAUACGCGAGCUUUUUCACCCGGGCUGACCUCGAUCGCGUACAGGAUUAUUACAGUGAUUCCUCGAUCGAGGUAAUUAAUUCCGCUCUGUUCGACGAUAUCUUGAAAACGGUUCUUGGUGGUCGAUGCUUUCGUGAAGAGAAUAAUUCGAUUCCUUGAAGAUCGACUUUGAAUUACAAUUAUGAGAAGAUUACCGAUGCCAAUUUCUUCAAAGUACAAAACAACACGGGUUCACGGAACAAAGAAACAAACUCUUUAUCGUAAGAACAACUAUCUUAUUCCCAGCGUUAAAAAAGAAUUAACCUUGAUCCAUUCUAUAUAGAUACAGUAGGAUCGAAGUUGGAGAAAUUAGCAACACCGUUUCCCAUCGAUCACGAUAUAUUCAAUUAUCUACACCACGUGCAUGUUUGCCAUUAUCUCGAACAUGGUUGAAACACGAGUUACACGGUAGUGUACAAAUUCGAAACGGCAGUCCGAGGUAGUCGGACCACCCUGUACAUAAAUAGAAGGAGGCACUACGCGUGCGCGUACGAGCAGUCCGUCCGAGUUUCUACGUUCUCUAGAGCGGCGAAGGUCACAGUUAAUCGACCGCGAGAUACAUAGUCACUCUGGUUACAGCGAGAAAAGUAACGACUAGUAUAAUUGCGGCCCUUCGUUUCCGUUUCGCCAACGUACCGGCAACGCACAAUUUCCACCGGCGAAACGAUCGAGCCUCGAACUAUCGUUUUCUGUCGAACGCAGAUGGGAAAGAAAGGGAAUAAAA